rnacentral:rRNA from 1 species
UACGAAGGGGGCUAGCGUUGUUCGGAAUUACUGGGCGUAAAGCGUGCGCAGGCGGCUUCCCAAGUCAGUGGUGAAAGCCCGGAGCUCAACUCCGGAACUGCCAUUGAAACUGUUUAGCUUGAGGAUGAGAGAGGUGAGUGGAAUUCCCAGUGUAGAGGUGAAAUUCGUAGAUAUUGGGAAGAACACCGGUGGCGAAGGCGGCUCACUGGCUCAUUACUGACGCUCAGGCGCGAUAGCGUGGGGAUCAAACAGG